UGUUUAGCAAAAACACAGGUCUCUGCAAAACCGUAAGGUGACGUAUAGGGGCUGACGCCUGCCCGGUGCUGGAAGGUUAAGAGGAGUGCUUAGCUUCGGCGAAGGUACGAAUUGAAGCCCCAGUAAACGGCGGCCGUAACUAUAACGGUCCUAAGGUAGCGAAAUUCCUUGUCGGGUAAGUUCCGACCUGCACGAAUGGCGUAAUGAUGGCCAGGCUGUCUCCACCCGAGACUCAGUGAAAUUGAACUCGCUGUGAAGAUGCAGUGUACCCGCGGCAAGACGGAAAGACCCCGUGAACCUUUACUAUAGCUUGACACUGAACAUUGAGCCUUGAUGUGUAGGAUAGGUGGGAGGCUUUGAAGUGUGGACGCCAGUCUGCAUGGAGCCGACCUUGAAAUACCACCCUUUAAUGUUUGAUGUUCUAACGUUGACCCGUAAUCCGGGUUGCGGACAGUGUCUGGUGGGUAGUUUGACUGGGGCGGUCUCCUCCUAAAGAGUAACGGAGGAGCACGAAGGUUGGCUAAUCCUGGUCGGACAUCAGGAGGUUAGUGCAAUGGCAUAAGCCAGCUUGACUGCGAGCGUGACGGCGCGAGCAGGUGCGAAAGCAGGUCAUAGUGAUCCGGUGGUUCUGAAUGGAAGGGCCAUCGCUCAACGGAUAAAAGGUACUCCGGGGAUAACAGGCUGAUACCGCCCAAGAGUUCAUAUCGACGGCGGUGUUUGGCACCUCGAUGUCGGCUCAUCACAUCCUGGGGCUGAAGUAGGUCCCAAGGGUAUGGCUGUUCGCCAUUUAAAGUGGUACGCGAGCUGGGUUUAGAACGUCGUGAGACAGUUCGGUCCCUAUCUGCCGUGGGCGCUGGAGAACUGAGGGGGGCUGCUCCUAGUACGAGAGGACCGGAGUGGACGCAUCACUGGUGUUCGGGUUGUCAUGCCAAUGGCACUGCCCGGUAGCUAAAUGCGGAAGAGAUAAGUGCUGAAAGCAUCUAAGCACGAAACUUGCCCCGAGAUGAGUUCUCCCUGACCCUUUAAGGGUCCUGAAGGAACGUUGAAGACGACGACGUUGAUAGGCCGG
rnacentral:rRNA from 1 species